rnacentral:rRNA from 1 species
CCUACGGGAGGCAGCAGUGGGGAAUAUUGGACAAUGGAGGAAACUCUGACCCAGCAAUGCCGCGUGAAUGAAGAAGGUCUUCGGAUUGUAAAGUUCUUUAGUCAGGGAAGAAUAAAAUGACGGUACCUGAAGAAUAAGCUCCGGCUAACUACGUGCCAGCAGCCGCAGUAAUAAGUAGGGAGCAAGCGUUGUUCGGAAUGACUGGGCGUAAAGGGUGCGUAGGCGGUUAUACAAGUUAGAAGUGAAAUACCCAGGGCUUAACUCGGGUGCUGCUUCUAAAACUGUAAGACUUGAGUGCAGGAGAGGUUAGUGGAAUUCCUAGUGUAGCGGUGGAAUGCGUAGAUAUUAGGAGGAACACCAGAGGCGAAGGCGGCUAACUGGACUGCAACUGACGCUGAGGCACGAAAGUGUGGGGAGCAAACAGGAUUAGAUACCCUUGUAGUC